AAGUUUGGUGGUAACUUUAAUGCAACAAGUAUCAGUCGUCCGUGGUUAUUCUUCAUGUGAACAUAUUACCAUUGUGUUUAAAUAUAUACGAAUAAUGUCGUUUUUUGAAAAACGACGGCGACGCAAUCGUAAGCUAUACGAACUGCGCGACAACAAAAUUACCGACGGAUCCGGUGGAGAUCGCUCGCUCUGUGCUCUCUUAAGACCACUUGUUUCAAUCUGUUUGUUGUAUUAAAUAAACAUUGUAAUUGUUGUCAUUUAACGGUUGAACGCUUAGAACUCUCGCGCGCUCAGCAACUUUGUUGUGGUCACUUUUUGGUUAUACAAAAACGGAACACGUGUGCACAAAAUCGUAAUUUAUUCCGAUUCGAUUGAAUUUAAUUUUUUUUUGACAUUUUGUUCGGUUAUUUGUUUUGUAUUUUGCAAAGAUGAAGGCAGUAACAAUAAUUCAAACUAAUAAUAACACCAGUGAGUGGAAUUUUGCGUGUCUUGUUUCAUACAAUGAUGAACAAGAACAACAAUUUAACAAGAAGACGACGGCAUAGCAAGCAAAUAUUAAACGGUGAACGCGGUGAACAGUACUUGAGAACAUAUAAAAAAAAAAAAAACAAAACAUAUUGAUAUUAAAAUAUAAAAAGCCAAAGGGUACAAUUUCAAAUCAAUCAAAUCAUGUUCAAUUGCGUGCCAUGCCGCUGCGCUGCGUUCUUAACUCUAUAUAAAAUGCAUUAUCAUGUUUGGUUGCGUUGUACCAGCACCGCAGAAGAGAGAAUAAUUUUCAAUCAGCACGAGUCGGUCUGAUGUGAAGUCGUGUAAAUUGUUGAAGAUAUUGAGAGAUUGGAGGAAGCAAAUCAUAAACAGAAACUUCUCUAAAGAUAUUAUACGGAUCGUUUCGCAUUUCGAGUUAUUACACAAUUAUUUAAAGAAGCACCAUUUUCGAGAUGUGAAUAGAAAAAUAUAGUUUUUGUUUUUUUAAAUAAAAAUAUCACAA